rnacentral:lncRNA from 1 species
UAUAUAUUGACAAACCAGAUUUUUUAAAAGAAAAAGAGUAUAUUUCCUAAACCCAACGAUAAGCCGCAAAAAGGGUCAGAUUUUUAUAAUGGAAAUUAAAAAUUUCACCUGUUAAUGUAAGUAUAUAAAGAUUGUUUCAAAAUGCAAGUAAAAUCAUUUAAAACUAAUAUAGUCUGUUAAUACAAUAUUUGUUAUAUGAAACUAUUUUAAAAAUACUUUUCAGAAUAUUUUAUGCCUUUUGUAACUAACUUUUAUUUUCUUUAGUUUCAUAAAAUUAGUUGCAUGUAAGACCAAUGAUCUUAUAUGCAAUUAGCAAUACUUUCAUUACACUCUUAACUGUACUAAUUUUCAAAUGGCAUUUAUCUUCAGUCCAAUAUUGACAGACUAAGUAAAGCUGACGAGACUUCGGAAGGAAAAACGAAAAAUAUGGCGCUGGUAAAGUUAUUUGUCGACUAGAUGUUGUCUUACGUUAUGUCUAUGUUGACUAUUCUUCAUUUUCCUUACAAAGUUCUGUUUUAUUUGUAAUAGGUAUGGGUCCAAUGCGACCGAAAAUGUUUCUGUAUUGGAAAUGUAACGUAAAUGAUAAAAAUGUCACACAAAAAAGUGGCUAUGACAAUGGCAAAAUAACAAUCACAAAAAAAUUCAAAAAUUUCAUAAAAUUUUUUUGAUGAGUAAAUAUUUGUAACUAUAAAACUUAAAAUAAAUGAAUUUUUUUUGUAGUUUUAAAUUGUAUAUGAUAUUGUUCAGUUAGUGUCAUAAAUGUUGUUAUGUUAUAUAUUGUUUGUGGGAUUUUUGGCAUAAGCCACCAACCAUCAAACAGAAAAUACUAAAAAAUUUAGCUUUGUUGCCUUCGUCAAAAGAAUGUAACAAAAAUAUAGAAGUAAAAUAGUUAUGAGAAGGCAUUCAAUUAUAUUCUACAGAGUUUUUAUUUGAUCAAUGAACAGCUGUGGUAUUCAUUUAAUGCUUUAACUGCUAUUUAUUGUGCGAUUCAAGACAUCAGGGGGUGGGGUUCUUUUUAAAAUACAACAGCGUAAAAAUAUCUUUAAAAAGGUUCUCUUCCAAAUUUAGUCAGGGUUAUUAGAGAGCGGGCACGGGGCUAUAUUAUGUAAUUCAACACUGUUCAUUGACCCGAAGCUAAAUUUAUCUUUAUCGAUUUUUUAAUUAGUGUAAUAAGUAUGAGUACCUUAGAAAACAAAUUAGGCAAAGGAGAGAAACCUAUUCAAAUAGAAGAAAGUUUAGCAAAUAUAGAUCAUACUAGCGAAGAUGUUGACAUAAGUGAACCACUUUUAAUUGCGUCACUUGUAUCAGACUUAAAAUUUAAUGGUUUGAAAAACACUAGUGAACUUUUUGAAACCGCGUUAGAGUUGUUUGCAUUUACUAAUGUUAAAAUUAAUAGCGUUGAGGGGACAACUCAAUGUUUCAAGGCAGAUAUUUCUGCAUUACUUACUAAUGAAAAAGAAGCUGAAACAUUUUUGAAUGAUUACUGUGAAAGAAAUCAAGAAGUCUUAAAGGUUGCGACAUCAAGGCAUCUUGGAAUUAAAAGCUCAUUCAGUUUUUAUAAAAGAUAUCGCUGUCAUCAUAAGACCAGAUAUAAUCCAACAACUAAUGCUUCCUUUAUUUUGCAAGAUAAUCCUUCAAGAAGAAUCAAAAAUACAGAUUGUCCAUAUUCCAUGACAAUUAAAAUUAAAAAGAAUAAGGAUGCAUAUCCCUGUCAUAUUAUUCUUGAAUACUCCCACAAUCACUCCUUGAAAUCAUUGCAAGUGAAUAGUUUCAAAGAUAUAUUACCUGAAACAUCAGAAAAAGUUUUAACACUUUUUGAUAAAGGUUUCACACCAGGAUUUGCUUAUAAAGAAUACAAUCAAAAUCUACUGUUUGAAUGCAAAGAUGAGCUUGAAUAUCAUCGGUUAAGAUCUGAUCGUUCAAUUUGUCCAAGACGUCCUGAUUUUAACAGGUUAUAUAACUCUUACUGUAGAGAAAAAUAUGGCUCUAAAAACGGGAAAGAAAUGUUCGAGCAUUUGGAAGAAAAAAUAGCAUUUUAUAUUGAUAAAUUUCCUGAUAGUUCUGUGCAUUUCCAACGAUACGAAGAAAAUGAUUUGAUAACAACACCGUUAAUCUUAGUUAUAGUAACGCCCUUAAUGAAAAGAGUUCAUACUAUGGAAAGUCAUGCUUCAGAAAUAGUAUUUGUUGACUCUUCUUCAAAUAUGGAUGCAAACAAUCUUAGGGUUUUUAUCCUUUGUACUCAUAGUGUUGCUGGUGCUCUUCCUUUGGGAUUAAUAAUUUGCAGCGACGAAAAAACUGACACCUUGAUAAAGGCCUUUGAAACAUACAAAGUUUUAUUACCUAAAAAUGCUUUUUUUAAUAAAGGAAAUGAAAUUGGUCCUGAUGUUAUGCUCACAGACAACAGUUCAGAGUUAAGAGAUGCAUUAUCAAACGUUUGGCCUUCCUCAUCAUUAUUGUUAUGUACUUUUCAUCUUCUGCAACAAGUUUGGCGAUGGUUGUUCGAUAUCAAACACCAAAUUGAAAAAGUCGAUCGACCGAUUAUCAUGUCAAAUUUUAAAAACACCGUUUACGCCGAAACAAUAGAGAAGUUUGAAGUUGCUUUUUCGCAAUUGCUAUGCGACAAUAUCGUUAAAAAAUACCCUAAUCUAAUAUUUUAUUUUAAAAAUAUUUAUGAGUUUAAAAAAUGUUGGGCUCAAGCAUUUCGCUCGACUUUACGAACACGUGGUAACAACACCAACAAUUACACCGAAGCUCAAUUUUUAGUUAUGAAAGAUUUAAUUUUGCAAAGAGUGAGAGCAUAUAAUAUUAACGUACUAUUUGACAGUUUUACCAACGAGUUAGAUCAAUAUUAUAAAAAUAAACUGUUAUCUACAGCUAGCGGAUCUUUUGAUAGUUACAAUACUCCUCGAUACUUUGGUAAAUCCCUAAAAAACAAAGUUGGAAUCGGAUUUGUAAAGCCAUCCACUGAGCAAAUUAGUACAAUGUUACAUAAUACACAAAAUAUCGGCAGCAACAUAUUUGUUGUUCCUAGUGCGUCUGGAAAAAACAACUAUACGGUAGAUAUGUAA